rnacentral:lncRNA from 10 species
GGUCCUUAAAUCUGGGAUCCUUUCCCCUCCUUGCCCAAUAAUUGAACUCCUAAAAUCCUUUUACUACCUGGGAAUCUGCAAAGACAACCUUGAAUUUGAACUGGAGCUAGAAGGACUUCCUCCGAACGAAUUUGCCCAUAGAUGACUCUCUGGUACAUGGUCUCUGUUGUUCAACUUUCUCUAUUCUGAAGUCUAGAAGACACCCUUGCUUCUGAAAGUGGGGCCUAAGAACCUGCAGCCUCACCAGGGAGCUUGGUAGAAAUCCAGAAUCUGAGGCAGGAUUCUAGACUUAUUGGAUCAGAUUCUGCAUUUCAACAAGAUUCCCCAGUGACCCCCAGGCAUCUUCAAAUUUGAGAGGCCAGGAAAGUGCUCAGGCCCUGCCCUUCCCUUCCCGUUGGCUGGGGAGAAUUCCUGUAAUUUGCCCUGUUUACGGGUCCUUAAUCUCCAACUUCACUGUCCUCGCUUUCCAAAGAAUCCUGAGUGGCUUCCUUCCAACACCUUAUCUGUCUUCCCCCACGCCCCUGAAGCCAGGGCCUCUUUUCUUCAAGGCCACCCCCCAACUCAUCUCAGGCUGAGGCUCCUCUCUUGAGGCCAUAUCCCAUGGUAGCAUUUCUUUGAGGGCUGCUUUUCUGCCGUUUUUCUCCCCAGGUAGGGCCUCUAAAACCGAUGGAAGUGAAGUGCUACACCUCAGAGCUGCUUUAGCCCUUAGAGCUGGCCAGGGUCUGAGUGGGCCUCUCACAGGGCCACAGGACUGCCCUUUCCCCCAGCAUGCCUAGAAGCUGAGACCACUCACACCACAUGAACAUGCUAUCCUUGUUCCUCUUUCCUGCCAGCCUCAACACAACCAGAAUACAGCCCAAUAAUGGCUGCCUACAAAUGGGAGGCACCCAGGGAAGGGAGGGGGUGCUGAUUAAGAACCAGCCUGGAGGAGGAUCAUGGUUUCUCUGAAACAAGAAGGAGAAACAGAUGCCCUGCCCAGAAGCAACACGGCUAAUGGGUGCCACCGUGGAGACCCAGGCAACCUGAGAGUAGUCCUGACAGCCAGACCUCCAGGGUGGAAAUGGGAAGGUCUACAGAGAAAGUGGGAGACAUGAAACUAAACAGGAAUGAUACAUUGACAAUAAAGAACAUGAAGAGAUGGUUCCUGGACACUACAAGAAACCUGUGGUCCCAGCUACUCGAAGACUGAAGUGAGAGGAUCACUUGAGCCCAGAAGGUCGAUGCUACAGUGAGCCAUGAUCAUGCCACUAUACUCCAGCCUAGGUGACAGAGCGAGACUCCAUCUCAGA